rnacentral:lncRNA from 1 species
CCCGGAUGUAUUCGUAUAUUACAUGUAAUUGUGCUGUUCAGUAUUAAUUGCUUAAAGUCCUGGUUAAUAAUAUAUUUACUAGAUUUUACCGUUUUCCAUUAAGUGGAGCGAGUUGGCAGGAGUAAUAUUAACGGGAUUAACCCAUAUACACUUGAACAGUAUAACAUCUUUUUCCAUAAGUGGGGCGAGUUGGCAUUACUAAAUUCAUCCUGGUUAAUAAUAUAUUUAUCUAGAUUUUACCGUUUUCCAUUAAGUGGUUUCCAUAAGUGGGGCGAGUUGGCAUUACUAAAUUCAUCCUGGUUAAUAAUAUAUUUAUCUAGAUUUUACCGUUUUCCAUUAAGUGGGGCGAGUUGGCAUUACUAAAUUCAUCCUGGUUAAUAAUAUAUUUAUCUAGAUUUUACCGUUUUCCAUCAAGUGGUGCGAGUUGGCAGGAGUAACAUUAACGGGAAUUAACUCAUUUCACAAGUGGGGCGAUUUGGUAAACCAGUUUGGGGCGGGUUUUUUUUAAGUGGGGCGAGUUGGUGAAAAAGUGGGGCGAUUAGGUGUGGAGCGACUUGCCAGUGGGGCGAUUUGUCAUGGAUUCGUGUCUUGGAUGAAAAGAUAUCGCAUUUGGUACUCAUACCUCAUCUUUUGUUUCUGGAUACAAAGCACGUUUUGGAACACGUAGUGGGCAAUAUUGCACCCACUAUAAUCCAGAGUAUUGAUAUGAUUGAAAAUAUUGCACAUAAGUCAAUAUGACAGCAGCCGACCGAUAAAAGUUCCAAGUCAUAAAAGUUUACACAUCAGUUAAGAUAGUAGUGUUUUUGUGCCAAUUCUUAGUGUUUUUCGAGGUAAAAAUGUUUUUGAAAUGCCAAUAUACAGGUUUAAGUCAGUUCAGACAUGUGUCAUACUGGACAGUGGUCACUGCAUAUCAAAUUUUAUUGUUUCACGCCGUGAAAUUAAUGCACCGGUACAAUGCAUACCAAUGGGGAAAAAACUGUUCAACUACUCUUACAAGGCAAAAAAGAAAGUCGAAUCGUG